AUUCUAGAGUUAUUUAAGGAAGAGGAAGAGAGGUCCUUUCAUUUUGUUCCAAUGUUUGUUUUUAGUUCUGCCCUUCGGGGUUGUUUCUAACCCAUUUACAGGUUUUUCUUUUCCGCCUGGAACGCGGAUACCCUCAACACCAUUGAUCAGUCUCUCCUACUGUUGUCCUGCUUUGGGUACGAACAGAAGUGUCUAUAUAAAGCUAUUUCUGGAUGCUCUAUUUUACCACGUUGGCUUGUUCCUGUGCUGGUUCCACACUGUUCUAGUCUCUCUUUCUGUGGUCCCCAGUAGGAGGAAUUCCACUUGAUGUUUCAAGAACUGUCUCGGGACUUCCCUGACUAUCCACUGGUUAAAUAUCCGCCUUCCAAUGCAGGGUACACAGGUUCGAUCCCUGGUGGGGAAACAGAUCCCACCUGCUGCAGAGCAGCUAAGCCUGCACGCAACCUCUGAGCCUGCACGUCACGGCGAGAGAUCCCCAGUGAUGCAAUGAAGAUCCCAUGUGCUACGACUGAGACCCAGUGCAGCCAAAUUAAAAAAGAAGAGCUGUCUUAAUGAUUCAUAGAACUUAGUUUUUCCAUCCAAAUAUAGAAUCGGUUUCAUGACUACAGCCACAAAAUUAAAAGGUGCUUACUCCUUGGAAGAAAAGCUAGGACAAACCUGGACAGUGUAUUAAAAAGCAGAGACAUUGCUUUGCCGAUAAAGGUCCCUGUUGUCAGAGCUGUGGUUUUUCCAGUGGUCAUGUAUGGAUGUGAGAGUUGGGAAAGCUGAGUGCUGAAGAAUUGAUGCUUUUGAACUGUGGUGUUGGAGAAGACUCUUGAGAGUCCCUUGGACUGCAAGGAGAUCAAACCAGUCAAUCCUAAAUGAAAUCAGUUCUGAAUAUUCAUUGAAAGGAAUGAUGCUUAAGGUGAUGCUCCAAUACUUUGGCCAUCUGAUUGGAAGAGCUGAUUCAUUGGAAAAACCUUUAUGUUGGGAAAGAUCAAGGGCAGGAGGAGAAGAGGGUGACAGAGGAUGAGACAGUUGGAUGGCAUCACUGACUCAAUGGACUUGAGUUUGAACAAAGUCCAGGAGAUGGUGAAAGACAGGGAAGCGUGGUGUGCUGCAGCCCGUGGGGUCGCAAAGAGUGGGACAGGACUUAGCUUUGGAACAACAUAGAAUCAGUUUAUGCAGUCACCCAAAACUCCCACUGACAGUUUUGUUUUGAAUUGCAUGAAGUGUUUAUAUUACUUUGGUAAGAAUGUGUUAUAAGGGGACCUGGACUUUGUCUUUUACUUGGUAAGAUACACAGAUGCAGGAAGACAGGCUUGGAGGAAGAAGCGUGGCCCGGGGGUCCCCGGAGACAGGAGUGGUGACAAGCCUCAGGGCCCCGGGGAAGCUGCUCAGGAGGCUGAGGGCGAGGAGAAAGUGAGGGCCAGCCCCUCCCUCGUGGUGCCCGUGGGCAGGCACGGGCCGGGUGGGGUGAACAGGCUCAGAGUUGGCUGGCGUGGGUCACUUCCCUGGGUCCUGGCGCUUCCCGGUGGACUGUCGCUGGCUGUGACAGCGGCCGCGAGUCUGAGCUCCGUGGCGGAGGGCUGGGUGUGGGCUCUGGCUUGGCCCGGCUGCAUUGGAAGGAUGACCCCACGGAAGUAGCCCUAAGGGUGGUCCUUCAGGGUCAGCCGGGCCCCGAGACAUCAAAGUGUGCUGAGCCGCUCAGUCGUGUCCAGCUCUUGCGACCCUGUGGACUGUAGCCCGCCAGGCUUCUCUGCCCAGGGUAUUUUCCAGGCAAGAAUAUUGAAGUAGGUUGCCAUUUCUUUCUCCACAAGACAUCAAAGUAUCUGUAUUAAAAGACAAUUAAUGCAAAAGAUACAGACCCUUUGCAACUUGAAGCAUUAUCUUUCAACAGUAUGAUUAUUCUUCCAUUUAUAUUGGUCUUCUUUUAAUUUUUUGAUAGCAUAUAAAUUUUUUCUACAUAAAGAUUCUGCAUUUUCUUAGACUGAUUCCUGGAUAUGUUGUAAUUUUGCAGUUGUAAAGUAAAGGAAUCUUGUUUCUUAUUCGUUUUUCUAAUUGUUCCUGACUCACGAAGGAACAGUACUGACUGUUGACCUUGAAGAUUGAGUGAGGUUAGUCAGGGGCCCUGUGGGGGUUCCUGCAGCCCCCCACUCCCCCACCGUCACAGCUGAGUGAGGGACUCCAGCCUCUGCAGGGCACAAACCUCCCAGGAAAACCACAGCUUCACAAGAAGCAGUGAGUCCCUGAGCGUUGGCGUGGUUUCUGAGUAUCAACAACGUUCUUCAAAAAGGAUGCUUUGAAUUUUGAUGAAGCCUUUUUAUGUGUGUCUUUGAUGGAUCAUGCUUUGCUAUCCUGUGAGGCCCUGUGGAGAGGAUGGAGGCAGACGCUUAUGUUUUUUUCUCUCGGGGUAUCCAGCACCAUUUCUUGAUGAGACCGUGCCUGUCCCUUUGACUCACCUUGGCAACUUUUGGCGUGAAUCUGAGGUUCAUUUCUGGACCCCAUGUCCCGUUUACCUGUACGCCGACAACCUUUGCUAACAUCACAUUGCCUUGAUCACUGGAGCGUGGUGCUUGUGAGAUCCUAGUUCUCAGAGCACAGAUGAAUCUGGGCCCUGGCAGUGAUGGCGCCGGGUCCUAACCACUGGGCCACCAAGGAAGCCCCAGCUGGGGCUGCACUUUAAUUUCGGUCCCUGCGAGUGCGCAGACAGUAUAACGAAGUGCAGCUGACGUCUGCGUGUUUAAUCUGUGCGCUUCUCCCUUGAGGCUGUCCUUUCCCCACAGACCUGCCUUUGUAUCUUUGUCAGCAGUCCACCGCACACCUGUGCUUCUGUUUCGGGAUUGUCUGGGUGACAUCACCCAUCGUGACUGAGUGAACAACAACAGUAGCUGAUGUACAAUAUUGUGUUAGUUUCCGAUUUUUUCCCCAAUAAUUGAAGAAUUGAUGCCUUCAGACUGUGUUGCUGGAGAAGACCCUUGAGAGUCCCUUGGAGCAAGGAGAUCAAACCAGUCAAUGCUAAAGGAAAUCAACACUGAAUAUUCAUUGGAAGGACUGAUGCUGAAGCUGAAGCUUUAAUACUUGGCCACCUGAUGCGAAGAGCUGACUCACUGUAAAAGACCCUGAUGCUGGGAAAGACUGAAGGCAAAAGGAGAAGAGGGCAACAGAGGAUGAGGUGGUUAGACAGCAUCACCGACUCAUUGGACAUGAAUUUGAGCCAACUCCAGGGAAACCUGGUGUGCUGCAGUCCAUGGGGUUGCAAAGAGCAGGACACAGUUAAGCGACUGAACAACAAAACAAGAUAUUGAACACAGUUCCCUGUUAUACAGGAAAUGCUUGUUGGAGAAUGUCCAUCUUGAUUGUUGUUGCUAGUGCAUAGGAACACAAUAUAUUGCUCGUACAGAUUCUGUGUCAUGAUAUAACUAGAUUAACUCGCAGGUUCUAGCAUCUUCUUCAUAGGCUCUGUUUUUCUAAACAGACGAUCACGUUCUCUGCAAAUGAGGACAGUUUCACUCCUCCCUUUCUUGUCUUCCUCUCUCACUGUUGGGCUCAUGAGUGUGACUUUGGGUAGAUGUGGUGACGGUGGACAGCGCUGUCUUUCCCCGCACAGGCUGACAUACAGUCCUUUUCUUACACUGUUGGCUUCUGUUCACAGACAUUUUAAAGAUUUGUAUCCAUAUUCACAAAUGCUGUUGCCUCCUUUCCUGUAACGUCCAUGUCUGGGUUUGGGAUCAGAGUGACGCCAGCCUUUCGACAGGGUUUUCAGGUCUCUGGAAAUUCUGGAAGCAUUUGUAUGGAGCCGGCGUCAUCUCUUCUUUAAAAGUUUGGGGGAAUUUUCCGUGAAGUCCUCCGGGUGUUCCGCCUCCUUUCUGCGAGUUUUUUAGCUUGGA